UGAAGCCCUCCAGUGUAUGAGAGAGGCCAGGCAGGGGCAGACAUGUUCUUCAGUUAAGGGAGCAGCUGUAAGAGGACACACUGCUGAGGGACACUUCUGUCAAUAAGACGUGAAAGUGCUACCUGCAUGAGUAGAAGCACGUCCACUUUGGGCUGAUCCAGGAAAACGUUGCUACUGUGAUCUUGAAUCAGAAUGGAAACUAUCCGUGAAAACAACUGUGGGACAAUCUGUCUGAAGUAUCUGCUCAUUGUGUUCAACAUUCUUUUUUGGCUAGCUGGGGGUGCAUUGGUGGCCGUGGGUGUGUGGACUGUGGUGGAGAAGAGCGACUACAUCAGUCUCCUUGACUCUGGCUUCUACUCAAAAUCUGCUUACAUCCUGAUCGCUGCCGGGGUCAUUGUGUUUGUGACUGGCAUCAUCGGAUGCUGCGCGACCCUGAUGGAGAAUAAGAGUCUUUUGAUUGUGUAUUUGGUCCUGUUACUCUGCGUGUUCCUGCUGGAACUCAUUGCAGCAGUCAUGGCUUAUAUUACCUACCAAGAGUGUUUCCCUUUCUGCCAUCAGCUGGAUGAUGCGCUGAGACAGAACCUGGAGGUGACCCUGCUGCAGAAAUACCAACAACCAGGAGAAGACGGGGUCACGCGUACUGUGGACAAGCUCCAUCAGGAGUUCCAGUGCUGCGGGAGUAACAGUUCCUCUGACUGGAGAUACAGCACUUGGAUCCAGGCUGCACAGGACGAGGAGCUCGUUCCUGUCAGCUGCUGUAAGACUCCCAGCAGCCUCUGUGGCCGCAGGGACCAUCCAUCCAAUAUCUACAAGUGUUGUUACUCUUCCUGUACUGCCAGGGAGGCUGUAUUGGGAAGUUAGAGGACUUCCUUCUGUAUCAGCUCUACAUUCUGAGUGGAUUGGGCAUUGGGAUUGCAAUUUUGCAGCUUCUUGGAAUGAUGUUUACUUGCUGCCUUUACCAGAAGCUGGAAGAUGAACCACACUGAUUUUGGAAGUUUUUAAAGUGUUAACAUGUGGUUUGAGACUUAAGUUAUUCUUCAAUCCUGUUGGACUUUUAAGUCAAUAAAAUAUGCAUACAUAAGAUUCUGUUAUGCUGCUGGGCAGCACUUCACCAUGCAAAACAUGAUUUUUCUCAUUUCAUGUUAAAGAUGCUAUCAAAGUAGGUAAAUACUAUCUUGGUGUGGUGAUACUGUAUGUUUAAAAUGCUGUCCCUUUUGUGGUAUUUUUUUAAAACUAUAUACAAUACAGUAUACACAAUGUG